UGGCUCUGUAGUGGACACCUGUGAGGAAGUGGACAGACAGCUGCUGAUGUCUGAUGCUGGCUGACAAUAAACAGACCUCUCUGGACGUACCCCAUCUUUCGCAGGUAAAUCCUAACAUUGCCCUUCCUGUAACAUGAUGAUCCUGCUGUCCUGGACUGUAUAUGAUGAGCCUACACAUAAUCUCAGAACAGCUGUGGUAAUAAAAGGAGACCCAUUUGGUGAGAGCAGCACUGCAGACUUUCCUGAUGGAGGAGAUCAUGGACCAUUUUCACAAGACUGAUGAUGUGUUUCAGCGGCCAUCAGCCUCGUAAAUCCUCACAAUUUGUUUAUAUUUUGAUUUGUAAAAAAUUAUGUGCAUUAAUAACACUAUACUUUAUAUUAUAU